CCUGUCCUGCCAGGAGCAUAUGGCACUUUUAAGUGCCACGUGCUGCUUGCAAGGUGGGGGCAGAGUGGAGGAGGCUUUGCAUGCUCCCCAGCCCCUAACAGGCCUGGGAAUGGGGGAGUGCGGAAGUCUCCUCC
rfam:Pelodiscus sinensis unplaced genomic scaffold scaffold106, whole genome shotgun sequence.